GAAGGCAAAUGAUGGAUAAAAAGUUACAAUACGCACUGAAAUUUCAUGUGGCUUACUAUUUCGCUUAUUGUCUGAUGCCUAU